rnacentral:rRNA from 1 species
GAUGAACGCUGGCGGCGUGCCUAAUACAUGCAAGUCGAGCGAACAGACGAGGAGCUUGCUCCUCUGACGUUAGCGGCGGACGGGUGAGUAACACGUGGAUAACCUACCUAUAGGACUGGGAUAACUUCGGGAAACCGGAGCUAAUACCGGAUAAUAUAUUGAACCGCAUGGUUCAAUAGUGAAAGACGGUUUUGCUGUCACUUAUAGAUGGAUCCGCGCCGCAUUAGCUAGUUGGUAAGGUAACGGCUUACCAAGGCGACGAUGCGUAGCCGACCUGAGAGGGUGAUCGGCCACACUGGAACUGAGACACGGUCCAGACUCCUACGGGAGGCAGCAGUAGGGAAUCUUCCGCAAUGGGCGAAAGCUUGACGGAGCAACGCCGCGUGAGUGAUGAAGGUCUUCGGAUCGUAAAACUCUGUUAUUAGGGAAGAACAAAUGUGUAAGUAACUAUGCACGUCUUGACGGUACCUAAUCAGAAAGCCACGGCUAACUACGUG